UUUGAUGGACAAACCGUGAAAUUUGAAUCAAUUCAAAAGGGAAAGUGAAACAACUGAGAGCACAAAAGAGAGAAACAAUGAAGUUCACUGAUUCACCCGUGAUCGAUCUUCAAGUCCUUAAUUCUGAAUUAUCAUUCCACCAAGACAAUGGAUCAAUGCACGUUGGAACCAGCGUUUGGCCUUGUUCACUUGUCCUCGUCAAAUUCAUCGAACGUUGGCAUCCUCUAACAUGCGCCGUUACACCAAAUCCCUAUUCCGACAUCCUUAACUUCCACAACAAACGUGGCAUCGAACUCGGCGCGGGUUGCGGUGUAGCAUCAAUGGGCCUUUUCUUAUUGGGCCUAAACAACAUCGUUAUAACAGACAUCCCUCCUGUUAUGCCGGCUUUAAAACACAACCUCAAAAAGAACAAACCCAUUCUGAAGAAGAGUUUGAAAACGGCUCAGUUGAAUUGGUCUAAUAAAGAUCAGAUAAAGUCAAUGGGCCCACCGUUUGAUGUUGUUAUUGCUGCUGACGUGGUGUAUUUGGAGGAGACUGUGGGUCCGUUGUUGACGGCUGUGGAUGAUUUGGUUGAUGAAAAUGGUGUUGUUUUGUUGGGGUAUCAGUUGAGAUCACCUGAAGCGCAUACGAAGUUUUGGGAGCUUUGUGGGGAGAUGUUUGAUGUUGAGAAGGUUCCACAUGAGCAUUUACAUCAAGAGUAUGCGUAUGAGGAGACCGAUGUUUAUAUCUUCAGGAAGAAGAAGAAAUUGUAGGAAUUGUGUUGUCUUGACAGGUUAAGAGUUUCGUCCAGUCUGUACAAAAAGAUACAUUUGCCCAGGGCAAUUGCUUGGGCAUCAUGCUAUCUGCAUGAAGGAUACGUGUGCUCAGCAAGGCAAUUGACUGUAAACUUACAUUGUGUUUGAGAAAGGAGACUAGCAAGUGUCGAACUGCAGAACACCAGGCAGGGAUGAUCGUCUCAGCCAUCGCUGCCGGCUUAGUGGCUUCACGAUGAAAAAUGUUCGCAUGCAUAUCAUUAUAGUUGAAGACCUAUAUAUGUAUUUUGUGAGAUGGCUGUUCUGCUGAAACAAUAAUGGGAUAGAUGGUGAUGUGAUGGACUUAAUAAUAUUCUGGUGCCAAAGGAAACUAAGUACAAUCGUCAACUGUGUAAUAUUUUGCUCUUACACCACCCUGCACAUAUCAUAUUUAUGUGUGAAUACUUGUUCCAGAGAUCAGUUUUACACAUUAUGUCAGCACAACUGGUCCUGAGUGCUA